GACGAACCGUGCGAACGUUGUUCGGAAUCACUGGGCUUAAAGGGCGCGUAGGCGGGCCGGCAAGUCGGAGGUGAAAGCCCCCAGCUCAACUGGGGAAGUGCCCUCGAUACUGCCGGCCUGGAGGGAGGUAGGGGCGUGCGGAACUUCCGGUGGAGCGGUGAAAUGCGUAGAUAUCGGAAGGAACACCGGUGGCGAAGGCGGCACGCUGGGCCUCUCCUGACGCUGAGGCGCGAAAGCCAGGGGAGCGAACGGG
rnacentral:rRNA from 1 species